rnacentral:lncRNA from 1 species
UUCAUGUUUUGUUAUAUAUAUAUACACAUGUAUACACAUAUAUAUUAGAUCACUAUUGUAGAUGAUAGGCUUUAUAUAUAUGAUUAAUAAAUAAAUUCACAUAUAGGAAAAAAAAAGUUAACACAACAUUAUGCAAUUUCCCAGAGCUCUGAAUAACUGCUUGGAGCAAGCCUUGCCAAUAGAAAUCUCAGCAGGGAAUUAGCAGGUGCUGCCUCUACAGAUGGUUUGAGAAGCCAAGGCUUUGGUCUGGGGCAAUGAGAAAAGAGAGAUUUGGGGCUUCUCACUAUUCCUGAAUAACUGUGAAUUUGGAAUGAUACUUUUAGCCACCAUAUAACCUGGGAGGGUUGGCAGCCUAGAAACACUUGUGUAUAGUUACAGGGUAGGAAUGGGUAGAGAAGAGAGGUUGGUGUCAAUGUGGAGGCCUCUAGUAAACUGAGCUUUUGAUUUCCACACUGGACAACGAGGGCCACAUAAGCGAUAUUCUUCUAAUACAAUCAAUGAAUUUUCAGAGUUCCCUUAAAAAUCGUUUCCAUUGUAAAUUUGACUUGACCUUGUUUCCUCAUGACUGCCACCACUAAACCUCAAUUGUCUUUACUUCUUUCUGGGUAGGGAGCUUUAGUUUCAUACAGUUAGUUUUUCACUGUAUUCCUUCUAGUGAAUAUUGUAAAAGUUUUAUUUCUCUUCUACAGAAUAGAAUAUGCUUGCUUCAAUGUCCUUGGCCGCAAAACUUAGGUAUCCGCAGAUUCUUCCACAAAUCCCACCUCAGGGCUUUGGAACUUUAUUUCCUCUGCUGAGAAUGCAGUUCUUCCAUAUAUCUUCUGACUUGUACAUGUACUUCCUUCCAGAAUGGACUUAACUCUCACCUCAUCAGAGAUGCCUCUCUGAGUAAAAUAGCAUUGCCUCACCUGGUCUCCAUCCUAUGUGUAAUAUACUUUUCUUCAUAGAAUCUAAGUAGCUGGGAUAUUAUUAUCUUUGAUGUUGAUGCUGUUGUUAUCUUGUGUCUCCCCUAAUAGAAUGUAGGCUCCAUGAUGGCAGGAACUAUUUUUUUUAAUUGUAUUGCCAGCAUAGGGAAUGGUUCUUUAAUUCUAGUUGACUCUCAGUAGGUUUUUCCAAUUUUAAAUGAUGAAGAAGAUAAAUGAAUAAAUGAAUGAAUGAGAGAUGUGAAAUGUGUUCAAGCUCAGUGGUUCACUAAAUGUAAGUAAUUUACAGAUCACAGUAGAUAGAAGAGAAACAAUAGGUAACAGACAGCCAUGGCAUAUUUCUGGUUGGAUUCAGAACAGAGUUAUCAGGGAAAUAAUAUAUAUAUGAGAACUUGCUUAUUUCCUCAUAUGGUUUGGUUGUGUCCCCACCAAAUCUCAUCUUAAAUUAUAACUUCCACAAUUCCCAUAUGUUGUGGGAGGAACCCUUUGGGAGGUAAUUGAAUUAUGGGGGUAGCUUUUUUCUG